UACGUAGGGGGCAAGCGUUAUCCGGAUUUACUGGGUGUAAAGGGUGCGUAGACGGGAAAAUAAGUUAGUUGUGAAAUCCCUCGGCUCAACUGAGGAACUGCAACUAAAACUAUUUUUCUUGAGUGCAGGAGAGGAAAGUGGAAUUCCUAGUGUAGCGGUGAAAUGCGUAGAUAUUAGGAGGAACACCGGUGGCGAAGGCGGCUUACUGGACUGUAACUGACGUUGAGGCUCGAAAGCGUGGGGAGCAAACAGG
rnacentral:rRNA from 1 species